AAGAAGAAGAAGAAGGAAAUCACUGAACUUCGGACUCAAUCCACACUUUGACUGACGACAUAUUUCUGCUUCAAAUCGUGGCCUUUAGCAACCUGUUGCUGUGUGACCUAUUGACCCAUGACUUGACUGCACUUUGGCAGCCAUCAAAGCACUCCACUAUUUUUGGACGCCACUGACAGCCACAAACUGCCUUUUAAGCAAGGAGGACACAUUUUUAGCUGUGGACCGGAGCAACACUCUUGGGCUGCCUGCUGCAUGACACGGCAGUUUCAGAGGUGCAGGACGAUGGAAGCGAAUAAAAAAGCAGAUGUUGGAGAGAGAGAGAGAAUCAUGGCUUCAACAGGUGGACCAGGGACUUCUGCAUGUGUGCUGGCUUUGGGGAAGGGGAGGCCAAACUUUUUUUUUUUCCGCCGGUGGUCCCUUUUCCACCGCAGUAACUUUUUCCGGAACGUUGCCAGUUACCCAGAUUCUUGAUGCCAAAGGACUGACAGGCAGCUCAGAACACGUGCCAACCUUGGCCACGAUGGAGACGGUGGAGGCGGUGGAUUGUUUGAAGCUUCUUCUGCUGAAGUCAUUAGCUGCUUUCUCAAUUGAGAACACUUCCAGCACAGGUCAGCACUAUGAAGACGAGGAGAGAAGGUUAGAAAAUCUCCAACGCUCGUUGUAUCUGAACACACUUCAAUUAUACUGAGUGUAUUCAUUUAAAAGUCUAACACCAAAGUACUGCUAUAGAAAGGGAGCAAUGGCAAAUCACUGGAUUUGUAUCUUAAAAAAAUCAUGUUGCCACCAAGCGGUACAUUUCGGGUUGGAACUAUAAAACCAGAUUUGGCUUGCAUUUACACCCCAAGUUUAGGUACUGUAUUGACCAGAAUAUAAGACCAACCUGAAUAAAAGCUGACCUAUCUUUUUCAAAACCAGGUUUGGAAAAAUGACUAAAUGUUAUUUACUACCAGGCAAUUCUAACUUUUAAAAAAUUUAGGAUAUUUCUUAGGCUCUUGACAGUUUUUUUGAAGACUGUUCUUAAAAUUGGCACAACUUCUACAUUUUGCUAAAAUGCUCAAUUUGUGUUUAAAUUUGCAAAUUUUUGUUCUUACGCUGCAAUAUCUAUAUGGACACUGCCUUAGGGCCCGAGAAAGGUUUGCGUGUAUUAAAACACAUAAAAAAACUUGAUAACACACGCAAAGCUGAUCUACUCUGCUCGUGCAAUCCGUUUAGCGCAGGGGUGUGAAACUCAUUUUAGCUCAGGGACCGCAUGGAGGAAAAUCUGUGCACACGCGCGCUGGACUAUUAAAAUCAUGGUAUUAAAACUAAAAAAUAAAGACAACUACAGAUUGUUUUCUUUGUCUUACUUUGGCCAAAAAUAGAACAAACACUUUCUGAAAAAAAUAAUAUAAAAAUAUAGAAA